CCUACGGGAGGCAGCAGUGAGGGAUAUUGGUCAAUGGGGGAAACCCUGAACCAGCAACGCCGCGUGAGGGAAGACGGUUUUCGGAUUGUAAACCUCUGUCCUCUGUGAAGAUAAUGACGGUAGCAGAGGAGGAAGCUCCGGCUAACUACGUGCCAGCAGCCGCGGUAAUACGUAGGGAGCAAGCGUUGUCCGGAUUUACUGGGUGUAAAGGGUGCGUAGGCGGCCAUGCAAGUCAGAAGUGAAAGCCAUGGGCUUAACCCGUGAACUGCUUUUGAAACUGUAGGGCUUGAGUGAAGUAGAGGCAGGCGGAAUUCCCGGUGUAGCGGUGAAAUGCGUAGAGAUCGGGAGGAACACCAGUGGCGAAGGCGGCCUACUGGGCUUUAACUGACGCUGAAGCACGAAAGCGUGGGUAGCAAACAGGAUUAGAUACCCGGGUAGUC
rnacentral:rRNA from 1 species